UAAUCUCUGAAUUUCUAGUGCAGUGUGGGC
rnacentral:piRNA from 1 species